UACAGAGGGGGCAAGCGUUAUUCGGAAUUAUUGGGCGUAAAGGGCGCGUAGGCGGCUUGGCAAGUGGAUGGUGAAAUCCCUCGGCUUAACCGAGGAACUGCCGUCCAAACUGCUUCGCUUGAGACCGGGAGAGGUGAGUGGAAUUCCCAGUGUAGCGGUGAAAUGCGUAGAUAUUGGGAGGAACACCAGUUGCGAAGGCGGCUCACUGGACCGGUACUGACGCUGAUGCGCGAAAGCGUGGGGAGCAAACAGG
rnacentral:rRNA from 1 species